CAGCCGAGCGCUGGUCGAGUGAGCACCUCCCUGCCCGGCUCCUCCUCCACCCGCACCCCACAGCUCCUGCCCCUCCCCUUGCGAGGCGCGGCGCCCCCUCCUCACCAACACCCCCCCAGCACCACCUCAGGGGGGCACAGGACACGUGUAUACCAGGUGAUGGAGAGAUACGAGUGAGGGGCGAGAGGUGCUCACUCCAAAGGAGACCUACUGAGAAGGCGGAAAUGGGGGAAGAUACAUCUGUGAUGAUUGAAACUAAUAUGUGCAAGUGAAGAACAAAGUGAAGGAGUGAAUGGGCCCAUAAGGUGCAAGGAAACCCUCCGAGUGGCGUGUGACUGCGUGCACACACACACACACACGCACGCGCGUCUGGUGCUCUUAAGUUGAGAGCGGUGGUGGAGAGUUGCGUGUUGCCGGAGCUCUGCUGGUGUUGUGUAGUGUUUCACGCUCCUGGUGUUCCCGUGCGGGUGCUGAUAGUGAAGUGUAGUGUUGCGGUGAGUGUAGUGAGGUGUAGGCAGCCCGUGAGCGCCCGUGGAUCACGCGUAAGUAAAGAGGAAGGAAAGAGAGUCCGUCCGGUACUGGUGCAAGGCUCAGAGUGGAAGGUGGUCGCUAUAGCGAGCUGUGCCCGUGGUGGGGGGUUGCGGAGGGGUGUGUGUGGUGGGGGGAGAGUGUGUGUGUGUGUGUGUGUGUGUGUGCCUUUGUGGGGGUGGCACGCAUGCCCAGGUGUUACCCCUGCUCUUCUGCCACGGGGGAGACUUCACACCGCUCCGGCCACACUCUCGCUAGACGUCGGCCGUAACUGGUACGGCGCACACCCCCUUCUCCGUGGCCCUGUCACCGCUCCGUGGCCCUGUCACCGCUCCGUGGCCCUGUCACCGCUCCGUGGCCUCCCCCGUGUCUACCCCGUGUCAUGCA